rnacentral:rRNA from 1 species
AUUGAACGCUGGCGGAAUGCUUUACACAUGCAAGUCGAACGGCAGCACGGGGCAACCUGGUGGCGAGUGGCGAACGGGUGAGUAAUACAUCGGAACGUGCCCAAUCGUGGGGGAUAACGUAGCGAAAGUUACGCUAAUACCGCAUACGAUCUACGGAUGAAAGCGGGGGAUCGCAAGACCUCGCGCGAGUGGAGCGGCCGAUGUCAGAUUAGGUAGUUGGUGGGGUAAAGGCUCACCAAGCCAACGAUCUGUAGCUGGUCUGAGAGGACGACCAGCCACACUGGAACUGAGACACGGUCCAGACUCCUACGGGAGGCAGCAGUGGGGAAUUUUGGACAAUGGGCGCAAGCCUGAUCCAGCCAUUCCGCGUGCAGGAUGAAGGCCUUCGGUUGUAAACUGCUUUGUACGAACGAAAGACUCUGGUUAAUACUGGGUCCAUGACGGUACCGUAAGAAUAAGACACCGGCUAACUACGUAGCCAGCAGCCGCGGUAAGAGU